rnacentral:tRNA from 1 species
AAGGGCUUAGCUUAAUUAAAGUGGUUGAUUUGCAGUCAAUUGAUGNGAGAUAGGUUCUUGCAGUCCUUA